UGGACUUCGGAGUCGUUCUUCUGCCUCUAU
rnacentral:piRNA from 1 species